AUUGAACGCUGGCGGCAUGCCUUACACAUGCAAGUCGAACGGCAGCAUGAUCUAGCUUGCUAGAUUGAUGGCGAGUGGCGAACGGGUGAGUAAUACAUCGGAACGUGCCCUGUAGUGGGGGAUAACUAGUCGAAAGAUUAGCUAAUACCGCAUACGACCUGAGGGUGAAAGUGGGGGACCGCAAGGCCUCAUGCUAUAGGAGCGGCCGAUGUCUGAUUAGCUAGUUGGUGAGGUAAAGGCUCACCAAGGCGACGAUCAGUAGCUGGUCUGAGAGGACGAUCAGCCACACUGGGACUGAGACACGGCCCAGACUCCUACGGGAGGCAGCAGUGGGGAAUUUUGGACAAUGGGGGCAACCCUGAUCCAGCAAUGCCGCGUGUGUGAAGAAGGCCUUCGGGUUGUACAGCACUUUUGUCCGGAAAGAAAUCGCACUUACUAUAUUAGGUGUGGAUGACGGUACCGGAAGAAUAAGGACCGGCUAACUAAGUGCCAGCCGCCGCCGUAAGAC
rnacentral:rRNA from 1 species